rnacentral:rRNA from 1 species
GUGGGGAAUAUUGCGCAAUGGGGGAAACCCUGACGCAGCGACGCCGUGUGAGGGAAGAAGGCUUUCGGGUCGUAAACCUCUGUCAGAAAGGAAGAACCUCCCAUAUCCGAAUAGGGUGUGGGACUGACGGUACUUUCAAAGGAAGCACCGGCUAACUCCGUGCCAGCAGCCGCGGUAAUACGGAGGGUGCUAGCGUUAAUCGGAAUCACUGGGCGUAAAGCGCGCGUAGGCCGCUUCUUAAGUCGGACGUGAAAGCCCUCGGCUCAACCGGGGAACUGCGUUCGAUACUGGGAGGCUUGAGUCCUGGAGAGGGUGGCGGAAUUCCGGGUGUAGGAGUGAAAUCCGUAGAUAUCCGGAGGAACACCGGUGGCGAAGGCGGCCACCUGGACAGGUACUGACGCUGAGGCGCGAAAGCGUGGGGAGCAAACAGGAUUAGAAACCCGGGUAGUCC